UUUUGGAACUUGAGAGUCUUUUUGUUUUCCUUUCCUUUUUUUUUUCUUUUUCUUUUUUGGCUGGGUGACUCUAGGGCUGGUUUCCCUGGCCCCUGAAUAACUGCUUCCUGAUCCCGGUCGCCUGCCCCGCCCCAGCUUGCCCCCCGGCUCUGCCCCUGGGUCCGGAGGGUGGGAAGCCUUGCCUAGCGCAGCGUAGCCUCACCUGCCUCAGUAUGCACGGGGUCAGCGACCCUCCUCUUUUUAUAAAAGACAUUAAGGCCGGACUGAAAAACUUAAAUGUCGUCUUUAUUGUCCUGGAGAUAGGACGCGUGACCAAAACCAAAGACGGCCAUGAAGUGAGAUCCUGCAAAGUAGCUGAUAAAACGGGAAGCAUCACUAUUUCUGUGUGGGAUGAGAUCGGAGGGCUCAUACAGACAGGGGAUAUUAUUCGGUUGACCAGAGGGUAUGCAUCAAUGUGGAAAGGAUGCCUGACACUUUAUACUGGAAGAGGUGGUGAACUUCAAAAGAUUGGGGAAUUUUGUAUGGUGUAUUCAGAAGUGCCAAAUUUCAGUGAGCCGAAUCCAGAUUAUAGAGGACAGCAGAACAAAGGGCUACAAAGUGAACAAAAGGAUAAAAUAAACACCGGUUCAUUUGGGCCAGUGGGAAAUGGCGUUCAGACUGGGCCUGAAUCAAGGGGAUAUCAUCCUCCGUAUGCUGGUAGAAGCAAUGGCCGGGCACCCAUCACUCCACAGCCACCAGGAGCACCUAGUAGUCAAACAGUCAUGACCACAAUAAGCAAUGCCAGGGAUCCGAGGAGAGCCUUUAAAAGAUGACCUAAGCCAAAGAGAGACAUGUGUAGUUUUUAAACUACGUGCCCUACUUGAACACUUAGCGCACUUUUAUUAUUGUUAACUGUGAAAGUUUGUCUCUUACGGGUUUCCUCUUAUGUUUUUGGUUUGUUUUAUAAAGAGUGGUUGGUUUUUACUGAAAAAACUGUUAAGCUGCUCAGUUACAUCCUAUUGAAGAAUAGGAACUCUGAAAGCAGGAACAUUUAUUUUUAGAGCAAGAACUUACUGGGUAUCACUUGAAAACCUGUCCCUGUUUCAAGGGGAAACUUCCAAAACCAAAGCAAAGUGAAAUCCAAACAGUAACGAAUAAUUGCCUUCCCAGUCUGCUUGGAUACCACUCGUCACGAAGUUAUGGAAGAAGUGUCACUCUUUCUUCGCUCCGGUGCCUUCAGCUAUCAACACUGACAAAUUUCAACAAGACCCAAUGAAACAAAAGCCAUGUAGUAUAGAAAUGCACUUCUAGGACUGGGUCCCCAUUGCUGUUUGUAGGCACAGUUCUGGAGUGGAGCGAACACAUACACUCAGACCAGUUUCUCCCUUUUCUCUCACCAGCUUUAGAGGGAGUUGUCACAGGAUAGAAAAUGAAAGAUGAAGUCCAAAUGGCUAAAGGCUGAAGUUCACCUCAUACAGCGUUUAAAUACUAGGCUUUUUUA